AUUGAACGCUGGCGGCAUGCCUUACACAUGCAAGUCGAACGGCAGCACGGGUGCUUGCACCUGGUGGCGAGUGGCGAACGGGUGAGUAAUACAUCGGAACAUGUCCUGUAGUGGGGGAUAGCCCGGCGAAAGCCGGAUUAAUACCGCAUACGAUCUACGGAUGAAAGCGGGGGACCUUCGGGCCUCGCGCUAUAGGGUUGGUCGAUGGCUGAUUAGCUAGUUGGUGGGGUAAAGGCCUACCAAGGCGACGAUCAGUAGCUGGUCUGAGAGGACGACCAGCCACACUGGGACUGAGACACGGCCCAGACUCCUACGGGAGGCAGCAGUGGGGAAUUUUGGACAAUGGGCGAAAGCCUGAUCCAGCAAUGCCGCGUGUGUGAAGAAGGCCUUCGGGUUGUAAAGCACUUUUGGCCGGAAAGAAAUCCUUGGCCCUAAUACGGUCGGGGGAUGACGGUACCGGAAGAAUAAGCACCGGCUAACUACGUG
rnacentral:rRNA from 1 species